rnacentral:tRNA from 2 species
GGGAUAGCUCAGUUGGUAG